UAGCAGAACGCGGGUGGGGGGGGAGUGUGCCCGCCUGCCUGGUGGUGGGGCUCCCCGCCCAGGCCACACACGGUGCCUCCCUGUGCCCAGUGACCGUGCGACCCCAGCCCUCAACCCGGUGGCCGGCCGGGAACCCAGGGUGUCUCUGGGACCUUCAGUUGCGCGGCUGCGGACUGUGCACCAGCGUGGGCUGGUCUGUGCGCCUCGGCGGAGCCUGAGAUCCGACCUCACUUCACGGGGCCAAGCCAGAUGCAGGGACUAAAAUGGGCUUGUGGGCGCGGGAGGAGCAUCACUGGGCCCCGUGCGAGCCGGUGGCCCUGGUGUGAGUCGCAUUUCAGCCCUCGCCUCUCCUCCCUGGGCCCAUCUCUGCCCCCGCCUGGAAAAUGCUCCACAUGUUGGAUUUCUUCUGGAAAAGCCACGGAAACGAGACACACAUCAAAGACCCAUUUCCAGCUCACGUGGGUACGGUUCUGGCUGCGCCGCUUCCCCGUCUGUUCCAAGCACGGAAGCAGAAAGCUCCCCUCGGUUAUUUUUGGGGUGUAACUGACACUCCGUGUCCCGCGUGUCAGGGUGCAACAUACUGAUUCAACUUCCAGUGUGUUUCAGUGAAGCAAGCAGAACUUUGACAACAAAGAAAUCAGUAAAUAGAAGAGCAUCGAUUGAUCUAAUAUAUAAGUAAUGGUGGAAAUCUAACCUGGCAGUGUGCGGAAAGGAGCAUAUACUGUGACCAAGCGUUUUUUUCCAGUGGAGCAGGACUAGCCCAAUAUCAGACCUACUGAUGUAAACCACCGUUUAAUAGAACAAAAAGGAAGAACACGAUCAUCUCCACAGAUGCUGACAAAACACUGGAUGGAUUCAACGUUCAUUCUCUUUUUAAAAUGCCCCCAGUGAAACAGUGAUUGAUAAACACGUCCUUAAUGGCACGACGGUGUGUCCCAACCUGAAAGCCACGCGGUGCCACUGCCUCCCCGGGGGGUUGAGGCCCCGGAGCUGACUUGGUGUCAGUGUCAGAACCACACGAAACCCCUAGGGACGCAGCUGAA
rnacentral:lncRNA from 12 species